rnacentral:rRNA from 1 species
CAGUCGCCGCGGUAAUACGGAGGGAGCUAGCGUUGUUCGGAAUUACUGGGCGUAAAGCGCACGUAGGCGGCUUUGUAAGUCAGAGGUGAAAGCCUGGAGCUCAACUCCAGAACUGCCUUUGAGACUGCAUCGCUCGAAUCCGGGAGAGGUGAGUGGAAUUCCGAGUGUAGAGGUGAAAUUCGUAGAUAUUCGGAAGAACACCAGUGGCGAAGGCGGCUCACUGGACCGGUAUUGACGCUGAGGUGCGAAAGCAUGGGGAGCAAACAGGAUUAGAUACCCCGGUAGUCCCUGUCUCUUAUAC